rnacentral:rRNA from 1 species
UACGGAAGGGGGCUAGCGUUGCUCGGAAUCACUGGGACGUAAAGCGCACGUAGGCGGACUCUUAAGUCAGGGGUGAAAUCCUGGAGCUCAACUCCAGAACUGCCUUUGAUACUGGGAGUCUUGAGUCCGGAAGAGGUAAGUGGAACUGCGAGUGUAGAGGUGAAAUUCGUAGAUAUUCGGAGGAACACCAGUGGCGAAGGCGGCUCACUGGUCCAUUACUGACGCUGAGGUGCGAAAGCGUGGGGAGCAAACAGG